CUUUCUUAGGUUUAAUACGCAAUUGUUCUUUAAUUGCGCUUACUGCGAGCCAACACCUGCUCAAAUAGUGGACGAUUUGCUGCGAGCACUGCGCAGACAUCGCCAUCGCCAUCAUGGCACCCGGCGUGUUUGGAGUUCGGAUAGAUCAGACUCUUCGUUGGCCUCGUUUUUAGGUGUUUGAUCCGUGACGUUUCGUCGAAAAAUCACAAGCGCGCAUGCCGUAGGUGUUUGCCUGGUUGCAAGAUCUUGCCGAUUUCAACGUUUUUCCACCUCUUCGGUUGGCGUACGCUGAACUGGACCCUCGCAGCAAGAAUGGCACGUGGGAAUUGACACCGCGAUCGUGGAACACAUGGCUGAUCUGCCUCGAAUAACUGCAAGCCGGCGCGCGCGUAGUGCCGUGGAGAACGAUCAGAAGUCCUGGACGACAAAGACAAAAACUUCAAAGCUGCCUCUGCGAACCCCGGUCCUGGACAACAGCUGGGAGGCUCUGUGUUUAAACGCGUGCACCUUGGACGUCAUGCUCCUGCCUCUGCAAGCCCUUUUGCUGGACGUCAUGGAAGGCCCUCCACUCGAAAGUGUGCACCUUAGACUACACGCUCAUCAAUACCAAGUUCUCUGUCCUUCUCGGCAUGAUUGUAGUGCCAUAUAAUAGUGAGGCAAUAAAUCAUUUUUGCUGGUCA